GGAGUGAUGGCUCAGCAGUUAAGAGCUCUGGAUACUAUCCCAGAGGUCCUGAGUUCAAUUCCCAGCCACUACA
rnacentral:tRNA from 1 species